rnacentral:misc_RNA from 1 species
AAAUGCGUUAAGUAAUGUGAAUUGCAGAAUUCAGUGAAUCAUCGAAUCUUUGAACGCACCUUGCGCUCCUUGGUAUUCCUUGGAGCAUGCCUGUUUGAGUAUCAUGAAAUCUUCAAAGUAAAUCUUUUGUUAACUCAAUUGGUUUCUACUUUGGUAUUGGAGGUCUUUGCAGCUUCACACCUGCUCCUCUUUGUUCAUUAGCUGGAUCUCAGUGUUAUGCUUUGUUCCACUCGGCGUGAUAAGUUAUCUAUCGCUGAGGACACUGUAAAAGGUGGCCAAGGUAAAUGCAGAUGAACCGCUUCUAAUAGUCCAUUGACUUGGACAAUACUUUUAUGAUCUGAUCUCAAAUCAGGUAGGACUACCCGCUGAACUUAAGC